UACGUAGGGGGCAAGCGUUGUCCGGAUUUAUUGGGCGUAAAAGGCUUGUAGGUGGCCACGCCAAGUCGGAUGUGAAAUCUCCACGCUCAACGUGGAGGGGGCCAUUCGAAACUGCCGUGACUCGAGUCCGGUAGGGGAGUGUGGAAUUCCCGGUGUAGCGGUGAAAUGCGCAGAUAUCGGGAGGAACACCGGUGGCGAAGGCGGCGAUCUCGGGUCGAGUACUGACGCGUGAGGUGCGAAAGCG
rnacentral:rRNA from 1 species